GGGUUGUGAGGUUAAGCGACUAAGCGUACACGGUGGAUGCCCUGGCAGUCAGAGGCGAUGAAGGACGUGCUAAUCUGCGAUAAGCGUCGGUAAGGUGAUAUGAACCGUUAUAACCGGCGAUUUCCGAAUGGGGAAACCCAGUGUGUUUCGACACACUAUCAUUAACUGAAUCCAUAGGUUAAUGAGGCGAACCGGGGGAACUGAAACAUCUAAGUACCCCGAGGAAAAGAAAUCAACCGAGAUUCCCCCAGUAGCGGCGAGCGAACGGGGAGCAGCCCAGAGCCUGAAUCAGUGUGUGUGUUAGUGGAAGCGUCUGGAAAGGCGCGCGAUACAGGGUGACAGCCCCGUACACAAAAAUGCACAUGCUGUGAGCUCGAUGAGUAGGGCGGGACACGUGGUAUCCUGUCUGAAUAUGGGGGGACCAUCCUCCAAGGCUAAAUACUCCUGACUGACCGAUAGUGAACCAGUACCGUGAGGGAAAGGCGAAAAGAACCCCGGCGAGGGGAGUGAAAAAGAACCUGAAACCGUGUACGUACAAGCAGUGGGAGCACGCUUAGGCGUGUGACUGCGUACCUUUUGUAUAAUGGGUCAGCGACUUAUAUUCUGUAGCAAGGUUAACCGAAUAGGGGAGCCGAAGGGAAACCGAGUCUUAACUGGGCGUUAAGUUGCAGGGUAUAGACCCGAAACCCGGUGAUCUAGCCAUGGGCAGGUUGAAGGUUGGGUAACACUAACUGGAGGACCGAACCGACUAAUGUUGAAAAAUUAGCGGAUGACUUGUGGCUGGGGGUGAAAGGCCAAUCAAACCGGGAGAUAGCUGGUUCUCCCCGAAAGCUAUUUAGGUAGCGCCUCGUGAAUUCAUCUCCGGGGGUAGAGCACUGUUUCGGCAAGGGGGUCAUCCCGACUUACCAACCCGAUGCAAACUGCGAAUACCGGAGAAUGUUAUCACGGGAGACACACGGCGGGUGCUAACGUCCGUCGUGAAGAGGGAAACAACCCAGACCGCCAGCUAAGGUCCCAAAGUCAUGGUUAAGUGGGAAACGAUGUGGGAAGGCCCAGACAGCCAGGAUGUUGGCUUAGAAGCAGCCAUCAUUUAAAGAAAGCGUAAUAGCUCACUGGUCGAGUCGGCCUGCGCGGAAGAUGUAACGGGGCUAAACCAUGCACCGAAGCUGCGGCAGCGACGCUUAUGCGUUGUUGGGUAGGGGAGCGUUCUGUAAGCCUGUGAAGGUGUGCUGUGAGGCAUGCUGGAGGUAUCAGAAGUGCGAAUGCUGACAUAAGUAACGAUAAAGCGGGUGAAAAGCCCGCUCGCCGGAAGACCAAGGGUUCCUGUCCAACGUUAAUCGGGGCAGGGUGAGUCGACCCCUAAGGCGAGGCCGAAAGGCGUAGUCGAUGGGAAACAGGUUAAUAUUCCUGUACUUGGUGUUACUGCGAAGGGGGGACGGAGAAGGCUAUGUUGACCGGGCGACGGUUGUCCCGGUUUAAGCGUGUAGGCUGGUUUUCCAGGCAAAUCCGGAAAAUCAAGGCUGAGGCGUGAUGACGAGGCACUACGGUGCUGAAGCAACAAAUGCCCUGCUUCCAGGAAAAGCCUCUAAGCAUCAGGUAACAUCAAAUCGUACCCCAAACCGACACAGGUGGUCAGGUAGAGAAUACCAAGGCGCUUGAGAGAACUCGGGUGAAGGAACUAGGCAAAAUGGUGCCGUAACUUCGGGAGAAGGCACGCUGAUAUGUAGGUGAAGUCCCUCGCGGAUGGAGCUGAAAUCAGUCGAAGAUACCAGCUGGCUGCAACUGUUUAUUAAAAACACAGCACUGUGCAAACACGAAAGUGGACGUAUACGGUGUGACGCCUGCCCGGUGCCGGAAGGUUAAUUGAUGGGGUCAGCGCAAGCGAAGCUCUUGAUCGAAGCCCCGGUAAACGGCGGCCGUAACUAUAACGGUCCUAAGGUAGCGAAAUUCCUUGUCGGGUAAGUUCCGACCUGCACGAAUGGCGUAAUGAUGGCCAGGCUGUCUCCACCCGAGACUCAGUGAAAUUGAACUCGCUGUGAAGAUGCAGUGUACCCGCGGCAAGACGGAAAGACCCCGUGAACCUUUACUAUAGCUUGACACUGAACAUUGAGCCUUGAUGUGUAGGAUAGGUGGGAGGCUUAGAAGUGUGGACGCCAGUCUGCAUGGAGCCGACCUUGAAAUACCACCCUUUAAUGUUUGAUGUUCUAACGUUGACCCGUAAUCCGGGUUGCGGACAGUGUCUGGUGGGUAGUUUGACUGGGGCGGUCUCCUCCUAAAGAGUAACGGAGGAGCACGAAGGUUGGCUAAUCCUGGUCGGACAUCAGGAGGUUAGUGCAAUGGCAUAAGCCAGCUUGACUGCGAGCGUGACGGCGCGAGCAGGUGCGAAAGCAGGUCAUAGUGAUCCGGUGGUUCUGAAUGGAAGGGCCAUCGCUCAACGGAUAAAAGGUACUCGGGGAUAACAGGCUGAUACCGCCCAAGAGUUCAUAUCGACGGCGGUGUUUGGCACCUCGAUGUCGGCUCAUCACAUCCUGGGGCUGAAGUAGGUCCCAAGGGUAUGGCUGUUCGCCAUUUAAAGUGGUACGCGAGCUGGGUUUAGAACGUCGUGAGACAGUUCGGUCCCUAUCUGCCGUGGGCGCUGGAGAACUGAGGGGGGCUGCUCCUAGUACGAGAGGACCGGAGUGGACGCAUCACUGGUGUUCGGGUUGUCAUGCCAAUGGCACUGCCCGGUAGCUAAAUGCGGAAGAGAUAAGUGCUGAAAGCAUCUAAGCACGAAACUUGCCCCGAGAUGAGUUCUCCCUGACCCUUUAAGGGUCCUGAAGGAACGUUGAAGACGACGACGUUGAUAGGCCGGGUGUGUAAGCGCAGCGAUGCGUUGAGCUAACCGGUACUAAUGAACCGUGAGGCUUAACCUUACAACGCCGAAGCUGUU
rnacentral:rRNA from 1 species